GUGUCAGCAGCCGCGGUAACACGUAGGGACCAAGCGUUGUCCGGAUUCAUUGGGCGUAAAGAGCUCGUAGGCCGUUCGAUAAGUCGGGUGUGAAACCUCCAGGCUCAACCUGGAGACGCCACCCGAUACUGUCGUGACUAGAGUCCAGUAGGGGAGCGUGGAAUUCCUGGUGUAGCGGUGAAAUGCGCAGAUAUCAGGAGGAACACCAGCGGCGAAGGCGGCGCUCUGGGCUGGAACUGACGCUGAGGAGCGAAAGCGUGGGGAGCGAACAGGAUUAGAUACCCUGGUAGUCCACGCCGUAAACGUUGGGUACUAGGUGUGGGGUCUUAUCAACGGAUUCCGUGCCGAAGCUAACGCAUUAAGUACGCCGCCUGGGGAGUACGGCCGCAAGGCUAAA
rnacentral:rRNA from 1 species